rnacentral:tRNA from 1 species
GCCGGAGUAGCUCAGCUGGUAGAGCAGCUGUCUUGUAAACAGCAGGCCACGGGUUCGAGUCCCGUCUCCGGCU